rnacentral:lncRNA from 1 species
GGCACUGUUCAUAGCACUGUUUUCCUGAAAGGACGGUUUUGCCCUUUUUUUCUUAGUGAUUUACGGCUUGCCAUUGCAUAUCUGUGUUUAAAUUGUUUUUGCCCUAUCGGGUUGUGGUCAGACCAAAAAUAAAACAAGGAAAAAGAAAAGUGAUUGUCGUGUCGUGUUUGAGCAGAAAGCGAGAGGAUGGUUCGUAAGCUUUCUCUUUUCUGCUGCUAUUGCUUUCGUUAGUAUUUGUGUGGUUUGAUUGGGUCUUUUGUUGUCGGCGGUUUUGAAUUUUUAUUUUGACUGGGGUCUUUUGCUGUGAGGAAGAAGAAGACCUGUGCGCUAUCUGUUAUAUCCUUUCAGAAUAUAGGCGAAUCGAGCUUCAGCUUCGCUGUUCUGUGUGAUCAAAUUUUUCCAUCGACGUCAACCAUUGUGAAAGCUUGGUGGGAUUUCGAUUUGAUAAAGAGAUUGGGUUUUUUUUCCUGCGGUUCUGGAAAAGAAAGGACAAGAGGAGAAAUUUAAUCCCAAGGGGUCAAGAUUGCAUUAUACUUGGACAUGGUCUAUGUAGUAGAUUAAGGAAGUUGAAUUCAAGAGAGAGUUGCCUCCAGGUGAGAUAAUGAUAAUGCCGUGGAAUGUAACUGUUAGACAGCUAAAAUAGGAACCUGAGAGUGUCCUAAAGGAUGCAUAUUAACAG